UACGGGGGGGGCAAGCGUUGUUCGGAAUUACUGGGCGUAAAGGGCUCGUAGGUGGCCAACUAAGUCAGACGUGAAAUCCCUCGGCUUAACCGGGGAACUGCGUCUGAUACUGGAUGGCUAGAGAUUGGGAGAGGGAUGCGGAAUUCCAGGUGUAGCGGUGAAAUGCGUAGAUAUCUGGAGGAAUACCGGUGGCGAAGGCGGCAUCCUGGACCGGCAUUGACGCUGAGGAGCGAAAGCUAGGGGAGCAAACGGG
rnacentral:rRNA from 1 species